rnacentral:rRNA from 1 species
ACCCGCUGAAUUUUAGCAUAUAAGUAAGCGGAGGAAAAGAAACUAAAUAGGAUUCCCUAAGUAAUGGCGAAUGAACAGGGAUCAGCUUAGUGUGGAAAUUGGGGCUUGCAGCCCUGAGUUGUAGCCUGGCGAUGUACCACCAACAGGGGCACGGAUGUAAGCCUCUUGGAAAAGAGCACCAUUGAGGGUGAGAGUCCCGUUUGGCAUCUGUAGGCCCCAGUGCACGGUGUGCUUUCUAAGAGUCAUGUUCCUUGGGAUUGGAGCGUAAAUGGGUGGUAAAUUUCAUCUACAGCUGAAUAUUGCUUCGAGACCGAUAGUGAACAAGUACCAUGAGGGAAAGGUGAAAAGGACUUUGAAAAGAGAGUUAGAAGUGCUUGAAAUUGCUGAAAGGGAAGUGAAUGGAACCAGUGCAACCUGGCAAGAUUGCUGCAUGUCAAAGUGAUUGCUGGCUGCCCAAGCGCAAGCGCGGCAAACAGUUAUGAAUGAAGUGUGUGUGGUGUUUCUUGCUUAGUGCGUCAGGGCCAGUUCAGAGUUGAGGAAAAUCUUGUGCAUAUGGAAGCUUGCCUUUGGGUGGUGAAUGUGCGCAGUGGAACGUGACUUUGGAUUUGGCGUUGAUGACAGGGUUCCAUCCGACCCGUCUUGAAACACGGACCAAGGAGUCUAACAUUUGUGCAAGUUCACAGGUGGGAAAACCUGUUUGCAUAAUGAAAGUGAUUGCUGGGAUCAUUGCACCAGCAACUGACCAAUUAAUUGAAAGAGGUUUGAGUAUGAGCACACCUGUUAGGACCCGAAAGAUGGUGAACUAUGCCUGCGAAGGGCAAGCUCAGGGGAAACUCUGAUGGAGGCUCGCAGCGAUACUGACGUGCAAAUCGUUCGUCAAACGUGGGUAUAGGG